CUCAUCAUCAAGCUGUGUCUGCUGUACAGUCUGUGCAGUUGUUUUUAACCAUCUGUGGUGCUAGAUACCAAAAAAGACUCCAGGAGAGAACAGAUCCUCAGACAAACUUCUGUAAGUGUUAUGGAUGGGAACGCUGUUAAAUACAUGCUAAUCUUUGGUCUAUGCUCUCUGCCCCAGUAUUUUUCUGAUGUAUAUCAUGUUGUAAAUGAAAGAAAGACCUGGGCUGAAGCCCAGGCGUACUGCAGGGAAAAGUACAUAGACCUGGUUACCAUCAAUAGCACUGAAGACAUGGCUGUGAUAGAAAACAUCAUCAAUGCUGAAAAUCAGGAUGAGUUCUGGAUAGGUUUGUAUGGCGAUGUAAACAACUGGAAGUGGUCUCUGGAACAGGAGGGAUUUUAUGAAGAAGGGCAGAAAGACCUCAGACUCUGGACCGAAGGGGAACCAAACGCUCCUAACAAUCACUUUGUCUGUGGUGACAUACAGAAGACAUGGGCGGACUAUUAUUGCCAUGGUCUACGCCAGGCAGUCUGCUA